rnacentral:tRNA from 1 species
AAGGAUUUAGGUUAAGAAAACUCUAAACCUUCAAAGUUUAAAAUAAAGAAAAUCUUUAAGCCUUA